UACAUUUUUGAGGCUGCAGACCAUACAGACAAUAAGCACCAUCACACCCCCAGAACACUACUUUCUGCACUGCUCCAGAGGUGUGUAAUGAGAGAACAUGUACAGCAUAUACAGAAACAUGAGGCAUCAGUCCAUUAUAUCCCACAAAGCCACCUUAUAAGGUUCUUUACGUACAGAACAACUUCACGGCAAAAAAAUAAAAAUUAAAAUAACCACAAAAAACAGCAGUACAACUUCUUCAGAACAGUAAGUGCAAGAAUAUACCUGAUAAAAGCACAAUUAAAAGAUCCUUCAUUUACCCAGUAGUACUGGGUCCUUCGGCAGUGAUAUAACAUCUGCCUCUAGAGGCAGAGUUUUUAAAACAUGUAACACAAUGCAUAGUAAUGACCAUGUAAAACAAUGGAUAAAAACGCACGCACAAACACACACACAACAUUGUAGCGCAAGCAUUACCAGGAAGGGUAAGCACCCAUUUUGUAUUUUUAAGUGUUGCAAUAAUUCUACAUUUAAUUUGAAACAAGAAGGUGGUACACUGUAGAAAACGCAUCAGUAGAUGGCAAUCCAUUCAAUCACCAUACGUAAAGAGAAGACUGGAAAUAAUAGACUGCCAAAGAGACUGAAAGAGCUUAUAAGAAUGCUUUACUGCCACACAAAAUGCCCUUCUGUAUCGAAGGGUACGCUUCAGUGUUUAACAUGGCAUGUAACAGUAAAGUCUUAACUACAGCACAGCAUUCUGUAGUAACAAAAUGGAAUGAGGGCACAAUGGUUUGACUAAUGUCAUCUGUAUACCGCAUGGUUUCUGUUCCAAAAGGCAUCACAAAAAAAAAAGGAGCAUAAACAAUCAAUCAUUCUUCCACCCAGUUCCACACAAUGUUAGCACCUUUACUUCAGAACAGGUUUAUUCGACAAAAUGAUACUGUUCCUUUGCUAUAGAGAAAAAGCACUGCUGCGUCACUAGUCAUAUGUCCCAAUAGCAGCAACAAAAUUACAGUACCAUUAUUCAUUUAAAGCAAUGAACUAUUUAGAGCUGCUUGGGAAAAAGGUAAAAAGCCUGCAGCCACAAAGGUUAGGUUUGUUUUUGUUCCAAAGAGAGUGGGGCCCAAAUGAGCACAGUUUAUGGAAAGGUGUAGAUGAAAUCAUACACUGCAGAAAGCUUAUUGAACUCCAUAAUACAGAUUUACGUACCCAGUCCUGGUUUUACAUUUCUAUUCCAGCUCCUAGAAGAUCUGUAUAAAUAUUGCACUUACAAUUCCCAGGCUCAGUUAAUACAUCGUCAUACACAAAACACCACCAUUUUUAAGUUGGUCCAGGAAUUUUAGAUAUUUCUUCAAAUAUUUGAUUUAGCACAAAUAAUAAAUCCGUCUGCAUCAAUUUUCAGGUUUAUUUGUGUAUUAUUGUGCCAAUUCCCAAAAACUAAAUAAAUACUGCAAAAUAUUGUAUAUGUUUGACCUUAAAUUCAGGUUUCUCAUCAUUACAGGGAUGCACUCAAAUGAUGAAAACAAAUCUGAUAUUUUUUUUUUCAGAUACUGGCUUUGGUGUCCAAAAAUCAUCAUCAAUAUAAUGGUCAAAUUUCCGUAUAAAAUAUUCUGUUAAUAGAUUCAUUCUAUGAACUCAAAGCAAAUAGUCAUGAAAUAAGAAAACACAAAAUAAAAAUUCAACUAUUAGGAGUUUCAAAAUUGUACACUUUUUAUGUGACAGGUGCAGUGUGGCAAAAAAGGUGUCUCUUUGUGAACAUACAGUUACAUAGAUCCAUAAAGAACAGACGAUUCUAUGAAUUAGUAACUGAAUUAAAUUAUAUGUACUGAAAAUGUCAAUACCAGAGGACGUCUUUCCAUCUAAUUCAUGAGGACCAAGAUGUACUAAGCCAGAGUAGAGGUAAUAAAAUCAUUACAAAUUUGGACAACUGGAAUCCAAAACAGGAUAAAGCUGUAAUUGCCACUAUGAAUGGCGGCGACCAGGAUAUCUUUAUUAAAAAAAAUAAUGAGAAAAAAAAAAUAUUAACAUUAAUUUUUAUUGAUUGAGACUUUGAAUAUUUUUUAUCUGAUUCAAAUGUUAACAAUUGUAAUAAAGUCUCCAACUCAUCUGUGGCAAAAAUACUUUGCAAAGUUUGUCUUUUUUUUUUUUUAAUAAUACUCUUGAACAAAUACAAUACAUUAAUCGUCUAACAGCAUUUUCUUUACAUAUUUUCAUCUUCAAAAAUAUUUUCUCUAUAGAAGAUGUUUUAUUUUUUUAUAUUUUUUAUCCAUUUUUACGAAUGCUUUAAAACGCUGCUCUUUGAGGAAACACUGACUCAGUACAUCACAGCCAUCGUCUAUUAAAUUUUAAUGCCCCUUCCCAAAACAGAAUAGAAAAAUGAGGGAAAAAAAAAAGUAUAAAAAAAAGUUAAACAAAAACAUCAAACAUCCAUCCCUCGUGUCCUCACAGCUUUGAAAGUUCCAAAUAAAAUUCAGUGGGCCAAAACUAGUUUUGAACAGGUGCUCUCAAAUAGAUAGGGUCAUUCUUACCAAGCUUUAGAUCAAAACGAAAAUGGUGGGAAUCGGGUAUAUACAAAAUGUAGCCAUAGUGGCAUAUCUAUUCACAGCUUGUUAAUAUUUUAAAAUUAAGAGUUAACAUCUAAAUCAGGCCUAGGGAAGGAAUAAUUGUAAACCUUCGCCUUGAGUACUCUUUUCAAGUCCAGUUUUAUAAGUGUCGCGUCUAUACCUAGGCACAUGAAUUGACUGUGCUUAGGCAAGGACGCUCAAAUACAACCUAUAGGAGGAGAGGGAUGAAAAAUACAAUCAUUUUUUUUUUUUUUACCAAUGUUCAAACUGCUGUAUUACCAGAUACACAGUGUAAAUAAACAUUUUUUUCUUUUUACAUCCUGGUAUACAUUAGCAAUAUAUUGCAAAGGUUUAGCAAAAGUUAUCCUUUGGUACAAUAAGGUACCAAAGCUUUUGAGUAAAUAGUGUAUUUUGGUCUUAAUUUCCCAGCUGCCUUAUGUCAGUAAAGAAUACAUCUGGUAUAUACAUAUAAGAAAACCAGGACUGGAGUAGAAAGUACCGCUGAUUUAGAGCCAAAAGUGCAUUGAAAAUUCAAAGUCAAUUUCUGCUCCUGCCAGCAAAAGUUUUCAAAAUAAUAUAAAAAAAAAAAUAAAUGAAAAAAAAAAUGAAGAAAAAAAAAAUUAUAUAUUUUCACAAGACAUUCUACCCACCCCAUCUGCCCAAACAACCCCACCCCAGUUCUGCUUCUCCCCCCAACAAUAUGUCUAUAUAUAUAUACAACAUGAUUGGUUUCUGUAAAAUGUAUCAAACCUCAAUAGUUUAAUAAAAUCUCUUCUUUUUUUUUUUAUUCCUGACGAACAAAUACCAAAAAAACAACAAUGUUUAACGCAGCAGCAGUAACCUUAAGGCUGCAGUUUUAUGCUUCUCUCUCUCUUAUGUAUUAAAUUGUAUAUAUUUUUUUUUGCUUGUACUUUAACAGAACAAAAUGUUUGUAGGAACCAACAGAUAGUCACAUUUUUGUUGGUUUGUCGUUACGUUUUAUCUCCUCUUUUCUCUCUAGUCUCUCAAAUGUGUUAUUGAACAUCAAUAAAUUAAUCUCUUCAUCCCUGAGUUUUAGUUUGAAGUGUGAGGCACUUUAGAAGAUUGGAAGGUUUUUGUCUUCACUGGAUGCUGACCCAGCAUAAGAGGUGUUUUCUUGCUAACCAAACUUCUGAAAGUGCCAAGAAGGUAAAAGUCAUAACUAGAUCUUACUUAAACACCACCACUAAACUGGCUCAGGGCUGAAGGGGUUAAUCACAGACUUCGACAACUGUUGUGCAUCAUGGGUUAUGAAACCGACUAAAAUUGUGGGCAGCCAUCUUCCACAAAGUAGGACUUUUCACUGUACUGCAGGACACAUAGGCGAGUCCCAGCAGAGGAACUGUGAACACAUAGCUUUCACCCCUCAGAGUACUCAAGACACCAGGGACUCGCACCUCUCACCUUGGUCCAAAUACAGGCUAAUAGACACAUAAGCCUCACAAGCCCUCCAACAGAGGCAUAGGAAAUACAUACCUCUUAAUCCUCACACUGAGAUAAUAGCACAUACCUCUCACCAUUUUCCCCAAGGAACAUCAUGGACAAAACUUUGAAUAAUCAAGUUAUCUCUUUCCACAAAAGGGGUUAUGAAUAAAGGAAGAGUUUCGACACAAAACACAACUGUUACUUCAAGACUCCUUCCCGCUGUUUGAAUCUUCGGUUUGUAUAACAAGCACCAAUGUUCUGAUGGAUUGAAAUUUUGAGUGACAAUCAGGGACACUUGAGAGGUAUGCCAGGGAGCUUGCUCCGUGCUCAGAUUUGCCCAGAGGCACCCUGGUGAGUAAAAAGAAUUACAGGCACUAGUGUCCGACGGACGUCAGAGAUAGAUAGAGAAAGAGAGA